UUUUAAAUAAGAAAAAAAAAUAUAUUGGCCCCCUACUGGCUUCUUUCUUAAUCAUCCUCAGCUGGCAAAUACAAAGAGAUGUUCCCGUUGUUACCGUUUUAGGAGCAGUAGGGAGAAGGCUGCUGCAUGCCAUACAUCCUGGGUAAUUACAGGGGCUGGCUGGAAAUUUUCCACCUAAAUGUUUUCCCAGUAUAAAACAGGGUCUCAACAAAAGUGCAAAUUUGCAUGUGAAAAUGGAAGUGAAAAAAAAACCAACAACUGACAUUUCCAAGUGAAAAAUGUCUCGUCUUUCCAUUCGAGAGUAAAUGUCCCUGUUUAGUUUUCCAUUGCACUUCGGGGGCUGGGGGUGGGGAACAGAUACUGAAAUAUCUGAAUCUGCUAUGGAAAGGAGAUGCUGAUUUUUCAAAAGGAAAUUGCAUAGCAGAAAUAGCUUAAAACCCAAAAUAAAUCCAGGGUUGUCAGAGUCUUCAGUAUCAGUUUUAAUUAUUACUCUAGUGGGAUUUUCUCGGAGAUUAUAUUUCCACAGUGGUAACUGUUCUCGCUUUAUUUUAUAGCCUUGGCUAUUUGUUAGCUGCGAACAAGCAUGAUCGCUGCUGAGAAGAGUUCUCAGGAUGUGUUCAAAAGCAGAAGGCGCCGACUUUCAUCUGCCCCCUUACAGCGAGCGCUGCCAAGCCUUCCCCAGCACGAGCAGCCCUGCCUGCACUCGCCGGCUGCCCUGCAGCCUAAUCCUGCAGCCCCGAGGAUGUGCUGACAUCGGCCGGGCGGCUCGGUGCCUCGGAUAAAGGUGCUUCAGUGUUUUGCUGCGGCAGAGCCUGAGAGCGGCAGGGUUUGGGGCUUUGUAGUGCUUGCAGGAUUCGGCCCUUCCACAAAGUCAUCAGAAGAGAAGCAGCGCUGGCACAUCCAGGUGAGCUGGCCCUGGGGUGGGGAGGGCUGCCCGUGGGAUGGCUGCAGGGCGGGCUUUGGUUCUCCUGCCAGGGACACACAAAAGUGGCUUCUGGUGGUGAAAAAAGCAGGGAAACAACUGCUCAUGGUGCUUCAAUAUUUUUAAAUGAGGCAUUUGAUGGGAUGUGGACUGUGCCUUUGCGACCAUCUGCAGGCAGCAGCGUGGUCCGCAGCCCACGCUGGAGCCGGAUCCAAACCCUUCCUGAUGCGAGAUGCCAGCAUCCCUGGGGCUGACUUCAUAAUCCUGCCAGAGCCAUUUUCUGCAUUCUCAGAGGACUUCCCCCA
rnacentral:lncRNA from 1 species